rnacentral:lncRNA from 1 species
UUUUUUUUUUUCCGUUUAUCAUUAUAAUAUUUCUCCUUUGUGUCCUGUCCUACCAUAUAUAUAUAUUCAUGAGGUCUUUACGCAUUCAAAUUCCCAAGAAAUCGAAUUAUGAAAACUAACGAUACAUGUAUUUGAUUUGAAUCACUUAGUCAACGCUAAUCAAAACACAAGUAUAUGUAUAUAUAUAUAUAGUCAUUCAUACUAAUAAGUUCUAGACUGUUUCCAAC